AAAAAAAAAAUAAAAUUUACAUAACUUUGUCAAAGUUAAAUUACAGGUGAAACUCCUGUAUAUCUUU
rnacentral:tRNA from 1 species